rnacentral:rRNA from 1 species
UGAGGAAUAUUGGGCAAUGGGCGCAAGCCUGACCCAGCCAUGCCGCGUGAAGGAUGAAUGCCCUAUGGGUUGUAAACUUCUUUUGUACGGGACGAAACUCCUGGUCGUGACCGGGAUUGACUGUACCGUACGAAUAAGCAUCGGCUAACUCCGUGCCAGCAGCCGCGGUAAUACGGAGGAUGCAAGCGUUAUCCGGAUUCAUUGGGUUUAAAGGGUGCGUAGGCGGAAUAAUAAGUCAGUGGUGAAAGCCUGCGGCUUAACCGUAGAAAUGCCAUUGAUACUGUUAUUCUUGAGUAUAGUUGAGGUGGGCGGAAUGUGUAAUGUAGCGGUGAAAUGCUUAGAUAUUACACAGAACACCAAUUGCGAAGGCAGCUCACUAAGCUGUUACUGACGCUGAGGCACGAAAGCGUGGGGAGCAAACA